rnacentral:rRNA from 1 species
CCUACGGGAGGCAGCAGUGAGGAAUAUUGGUCAAUGGACGCAAGUCUGAACCAGCCAUGCAGCGUGCAGGAAGACGGCCCUAUGAGUUGUAAACUGCUUUUGUACGAGGGUAAACGCAGAUACGCGUAUCUGUCUGAAAGUAUCGUACGAAUAAGGAUCGGCUAACUCCGUGCCAGCAGCCGCGGUAAUACGGAGGAUUCAAGCGUUAUCCGGAUUUAUUGGGUUUAAAGGGUGCGUAGGCGGUUGGUUAAGUUAGAGGUGAAAGUCCGAGGCUAAACUUCGGAAUUGCCUGUGAUACUGGUCGGCUAGAGAGUAGUUGCGGUAGGCGGAAUGUAUGGUGUAGCGGUGAAAUGCUUAGAGAUCAUACAGAACCCCGAUUGCGAAGGCAGCUUACCAAGCUACUUCUGACGUUGAGGCACGAAAGCGUGGGGAGCAAACAGGAUUAGAUACCCGAGUAGUC